GCGGGGCCGGCGCCCGCAUCACCGUGACAUCACCUCCAUUCAGGGGCUAAUCGGGCGCCCGCAGAGCUCCAGGUACCAAGCCCUCUGCUGCACAUCUUUCUGAAGAAGAGGGGAGGGAGGAGGCAGAAGUGUGGCUAUGGAGCCACGAGAACAUCUGAAGGCUGCAUGAAGGGCACCCCCCCCUCCUGCAGCCCGCACGACAGUCAGAGGGGCCGUAGCUGUUACCCCCCUGCCAGGCUCAGACGCCCAGUGCACAAACUUUAUGACCUGAGCUGGUUGACUGGAAGGUCCCCAGGCGCAGAGAUUCAGAAGUCUGCAUGGUGACCGCACCCUCCUCUCUGGCCUGGGAAGGGUUUGCACCCAGAAGCAGAAACAAGCCCUUGGGAAAAUCAACAGCCACACCUGUUGCUCACCUGAAAUCUUUCCUACAUAGGUGUGACCCUUCCUCCCUGAGGCCAGAAGGUGUGCGGCCAAGCCCUGCAGGAAGCACAGGCCCACCCACACAGCGCUUAGGGCACAAAUGAUUUCUUUGGCUUCUUUCUGUUGUCAGAAACAAGGUGUCACCUACACCCACCCUACCAGCAUAACCUAGGGGAGCCGGGUUUAAAACUGGCCUCUCUUGGGCUCAAAAGAAUCCAGAUCACAAUAGGUAGGGUUAGAUUACUCAGCCCAGCGGCUCCCCUUAGAUGUAGAAAAUGCUUUUGGAAGCCCAGGGCCCUGGGGCCUGCACAGGACACACGCUGUCAGCCAGGUCACCUGACCUCCCAGGCCCCACCCCUUCUCCACAGUGUAGCUCUUCCUGCACUGAAAAUCCCUUUUACUGUGUAACAUAAUAAAGUCAGGGUGACUCCUGAGGACAGGGACAGAGAUCACUGGGCCACCCUAUUCCACAGUGCCUGAGGCCCCUGUGUCCCUAACCUGGCAAUACUCCCAGCCCAGUUUCUGGGAGGAAGUGCCCUCCUCUGUUACUCAAUGAGGCCAGACCAGAAUCCCUAGUACGUGGAUUAUAACAGUGGGGUGGACAGAGGCUGGACAGGCCCGCGGGCAGACAGCUCUUGCCCAGAGGCCAGCUCCUUCCCAACCCAAACAACCCCUGCCCACAAGUCUCAGCCUGAAGUUUCAGCUUCCAAUCCAGGAGCAAGGAGAAGCUUGAGUGAUGCCACAGAACAGAGAGCCAAGAACUUGCAGUUCUGACUACAGGGGCCUCAUCAGCCAGGAACCCCCAUCCCCAGCUUUCUUUUUGCAGUUUUACCUGGCUCUCUCACGGACAUCAUAAAAAUCUUACCCAUUCA